rnacentral:rRNA from 1 species
AUUGAACGCUGGCGGCAUGCUUUACACAUGCAAGUCGAACGGUAACAGGCCGCAAGGUGCUGACGAGUGGCGAACGGGUGAGUAAUGCAUCGGAACGUGCCCAGUCGUGGGGGAUAACUACUCGAAAGAGUAGCUAAUACCGCAUACGAUCUAUGGAUGAAAGCGGGGGACCGUAGGGCCUCGCGCGAUUGGAGCGGCCGAUGUCAGAUUAGGUAGUUGGUGGGGUAAAGGCUCACCAAGCCAACGAUCUGUAGCUGGUCUGAGAGGACAACCAGCCACACUGGGACUGAGACACGGCCCAGACUCCUACGGGAGGCAGCAGUGGGGAAUUUUGGACAAUGGGCGCAAGCCUGAUCCAGCAAUGCCGCGUGCAGGAAGAAGGCCUUCGGGUUGUAAACUGCUUUUGUACGGAACGAAACGGCUCUGGUUAAUACCCGGGGCUAAUGACGGUACCGUAAGAAUAAGCACCGGCUAACUACGUG